rnacentral:rRNA from 1 species
AAUCAACGCUGGCGGCGUGCCUAACACAUGCAAGUCGAACGCGAAAGUCCCUUCGGGGAUGAGUAGAGUGGCGUCCGGGUGAGUAACGCGUGGGUAAUCUACCCUUGGGUGGGAAUAACCAGUCGAAAGAUUGGCUAAUACCGCAUAAUGCAGCGGCUCGACAUCGAGACAGUUGUUAAAGCGCAAUCGCAAGAUUGCGCGCCUAAGGAGGAGCCUGCGUCUGAUUAGCUUGUUGGUGAGGUAAUGGCUCACCAAGGCUGCGAUCAGUAGCUGGUCUGAGAGGACGGCCAGCCACAAUGGCACUGAAACACGGGCCAUACUCCUACGGGA